AACGAACGCUGGCGGCAGGCUUAACACAUGCAAGUCGAGCGCCCCGCAAGGGGAGCGGCAGACGGGUGAGUAACGCGUGGGAAUCUACCCAGCUCUACGGAAUAACCCAGGGAAACUUGGACUAAUACCGUAUACGUCCGAGAGGAGAAAGAUUUAUCGGAGUUGGAUGAGCCCGCGUUGGAUUAGGUAGUUGGUGGGGUAAUGGCCUACCAAGCCGACGAUCCAUAGCUGGUCUGAGAGGAUGAUCAGCCACACUGGGACUGAGACACGGCCCAGACUCCUACGGGAGGCAGCAGUGGGGAAUAUUGGACAAUGGGCGAAAGCCUGAUCCAGCCAUGCCGCGUGAGUGAUGAAGGCCCUAGGGUUGUAAAGCUCUUUCACCGGUGAAGAUAAUGACGGUAACCGGAGAAGAAGCCCCGGCUAACUUCGUGCCAGCAGCCGCCGUAAAAC
rnacentral:rRNA from 1 species